GUGUGCGGCUGCCCUUGGGACUGGAUGCGCGUUUGAGGGGCCACAAGGGAGGACAACAGUGUGAGUUGGGCAUGGCCACAGAGCAAGUGAGCAGAGCAGCUGGGCGCAUCUGAGAUGACGAAGAGGCAGCUGGUGACUGGAGGAGUGACGUGUGCUUGUCCUUCAGAAGGAAGGGAAGAGGGAGACUCUCGGCCCCUUGAAAGCUAAGUUGAGGCAACGGUGCUGGGGAAGGGGUUGGGGGAGCGAGGGCGGCACGGUUGGCUG